rnacentral:lncRNA from 1 species
CCACACACGCUCCUGUCUCAGGUCCCACCUACUGCCACAGUAUUCACUGUGGUGGAUCUGGCUAAUGCAUUUUUCAGUGUGCCACUAGACCCUUCCUGUCGCUUCCUCUUCGCUUUUACCCACGAAGGACAACAAUAUACCUGGACUGUCAUGCCUCAGGGGGCCCAGAAUUCCCCCACACAGUUUGCCCGUUCCAUGUCUCUGGUACUGGAACCAUGGCAGAAAUC